UGCUUCUCUUGAGAGCGGCGGACGGGUGAGUAAUGCCUAGGAAUCUGCCUGGUAGUGGGGGAUAACGUUCGGAAACGGACGCUAAUACCGCAUACGUCCUACGGGAGAAAGCAGGGGACCUUCGGGCCUUGCGCUAUCAGAUGAGCCUAGGUCGGAUUAGCUAGUUGGUGGGGUAAUGGCUCACCAAGGCUACGAUCCGUAACUGGUCUGAGAGGAUGAUCAGUCACACUGGAACUGAGACACGGUCCAGACUCCUACGGGAGGCAGCAGUGGGGAAUAUUGGACAAUGGGCGAAAGCCUGAUCCAGCCAUGCCGCGUGUGUGAAGAAGGUCUUCGGAUUGUAAAGCACUUUAAGUUGGGAGGAAGGGUUGUAGAUUAAUACUCUGCAAUUUUGACGUUACCGACAGAAUAAGCACCGGCUAACUCUGUGCCAGCAGCCGCGGUAAUACAGAGGGUGCAAGCGUUAAUCGGAAUUACUGGGCGUAAAGCGCGCGUAGGUGGUUUGUUAAGUUGGAUGUGAAAUCCCCGGGCUCAACCUGGGAACUGCAUUCAAAACUGACUGACUAGAGUAUGGUAGAGGGUGGUGGAAUUUCCUGUGUAGCGGUGAAAUGCGUAGAUAUAGGA
rnacentral:rRNA from 1 species